CCAAUAGCGUAUAUUAAAGUUGUUACAGUUAAAAAGCUCGUAGUUGAAUUUUGGGAUCAAUGGGUUGGUCAUGCCCUCGGUAUGUACUGAUUUCAUUGGUUCUCACCUUCUAAGGAACCAUGAUGUCAUUCGUUUGAUGUUGUGGGGAAUUAGGACUGUUACCUUGAAAAAAUUAGAGUGUUUAAAGCAGGCUAACGUUUGAAUACAUUAGCAUGGAAUAAUGAAAUAGGACAUCCGAUUCUAUUUUGUUGGUUUUUAGGAUCGAUGUAAUGAUUAAUAGGGAUAGUUGGAGGCAUUAGUAUUCAAUUGUCAGAGGUGAAAUUCUUGGAUUUAUUGAAGACUAACUACUGCGAAAGCAUUUGCCAAGGAUGUUUUCAUUAAUCAAGAACGAAAGUUAGAGGAUCGAAGACGAUCAGAUACCGUCGUAGUCUUAACCAUAAACUAUGCCGACUAGGGAUCGGAUGAUGCUUAUUUUUAAUGACUCAUUCGGCACCUUACG
rnacentral:rRNA from 1 species